rnacentral:rRNA from 1 species
AUUGAACGCUGGCGGAAUGCUUUACACAUGCAAGUCGAACGGUAGAGGGGGCAACCCCUCGAGAGUGGCGAACGGGUGAGUAAUAUAUCGGAACGUGCCCAGUCGUGGGGGAUAACGUAGCGAAAGUUACGCUAAUACCGCAUACGAUCUACGGAUGAAAGCGGGGGAUCGCAAGACCUCGCGCGAUUGGAGCGGCCGAUAUCAGAUUAGGUAGUUGGUGGGGUAAAGGCUCACCAAGCCGACGAUCUGUAGCUGGUCUGAGAGGACGACCAGCCACACUGGGACUGAGACACGGCCCAGACUCCUACGGGAGGCAGCAGUGGGGAAUUUUGGACAAUGGACGCAAGUCUGAUCCAGCAAUGCCGCGUGCAGGACGAAGGCCUUCGGGUUGUAAACUGCUUUUGUACAGAACGAAAAGGCUCUGGUUAAUACCUGGGGCUCAUGACGGUACUGUAAGAAUAAGCACCGGCUAACUACGUG